CCUACGGGUGGCUGCAGUGGGGAAUAUUGGGCAAUGGACGAAAGUCUGACCCAGCAAUGCCGCGUGAAUGAAGAAGGUCUUCGGAUUGUAAAGUUCUUUUGUUAGGGAAGAAGAAAAUGACGGUACCCGAAGAAUAAGCCACGGCUAACUACGUGCCAGCAGCCGCGGUAAUACGUAGGGUGCAAGCGUUGUUCGGAAUGAAUGGGCGUAAAGGGUGCGUAGGCGGGUAUUUAAGUUAGAAGUGAAAUACCCAGGGCUUAACUCGGGGGCUGCUUUUGAAACUGUAAGACUUGAGUGCGGGAGAGGCGAGCGGAAUUCCGUGUGUAGCGGUGGAAUGCGUAGAUAUAAGGAGGAACACCAGAGGCGAAGGCGGCUAACUGGACUGCAACUGACGCUGAGGCGCGAAAGCGUGGGGAGCAAACAGGAUUAGAUACCCGGGUAGUC
rnacentral:rRNA from 1 species